rnacentral:tRNA from 1 species
GCCUGGGUGGCUCAGUUGGUUGAGGAUCUGACUUCGGCUCAGGUCAUGAUCUUGCAGCUUGUGGGUUCAAGCCCCGCGUUGGGCU